CCGCCAGGUUCCUCACCAUCCAGUUGAGGUAGUUGGAGACCUGCGGGGAGUCAGUGAGCACUUGGUCCAACCCCAGCCACCAGGAGGGCUCUUCUUACAGCUGAGGGGCCAGGGGCCCUCAGUGUCUUCUGCUGCUAUUCAGGGGGGUCCUCCCUGGAGGCAUGGGAGGGUUACAAUGAACGUGCAUCCUUACCCACCACCUGUCUGGGGCCCCGGCCCUGGGUUAGCCCCCCUACCCACAUGGUCCCUCCCACAUCAGACUCACGGUAGCUUGGGGUAGGGCCUGGAGGGUGUCUCCGAGAUUCCCUGAGGGCUGGUAUCUGAGCCCUCCCCUGCCCCAGUCUGCUGUCACUCACCAUUAGGGCAUAGGUAAGGCCCAGGCCCACCAGGCCAGCAGAGAGCUCCCUGUGCAGGGAGUUGGAGAUGGAGGUCACGGCCGCGAUGAGGACCACACAGGCACCGAUGUACUCCUGUGGAGGGAGGUGAGCCCGUGUGGGCCCUCCGGGGUCGAAACCACAGGGCCCCCCCAACCCACCUCACUCCCUCCAGCUCAGCAGACACUCUACCCCAGCCCAGCCAACACACCUACACAUCAUCAGACACGCAGGAGGCCUUGAAGGCCGGAGCCCCGGGAGACAACGUGUGCACCCAGCUUCUGCCCCAACCCCAGCCGUCUGCACAGGCCUGAACGCGCCUCACCAGCUGGCCCACGCGGGUCAUGUGGCCCACUUCAGACACACACUCGUCACAGUGAAACACACAGCUCUUCCGGCUACUGGUGCGCACCUCAGGUGCACAACCCCCGGGCAGGGAUGGGGAAGAGCAGGCUCGGGUCAGACCCAGGGAGGGCCUCCAGGGCUGGGGGGAGAGGAGGGCUCAGCUCCCGCCCUGUGUGCACACACGGGCUGCUAUUCCAUCCUCUCUUCCCACCCUCUGGCCCAUGUUUGGCCCUUGCUCUGGCUCCACACCCCUAUCAGAAGCCCCUGUCUCAGGGCCCGGGGUGGGGCGUGGGUGGCACUUGCCAUGCGGACUUCUAGCCAUCUGUUGGCAGCCGUGAGGAAGAGGGAGGCAAUGUUGUUGGAGUCUGUGUAUUCGAGGAGCUUCUGCUGGAACCUAGCCUCAUACCUGGAGGGCGGAUGGGGAGGGUCUGAGGGUCCACAUGACCCCCAGGCCUCUCCUUACCUACAGAGAAGCAGCCAGUAAACAUGCUGUGUCUGACGUUAUGUAUGCCAUUCCUCUCCAGACGGCCCUCCCAGCUCCCUGCUACUUUAUUCAAACUUGUCAAGACUCCCACCUCCUUCAAACUCCUGCUUUCACCCCAAGACCCAUUCUUCUCUUCAGGGUCUAGCUAUUACAGUAAAGCGCACUUCUGCCCACCUAGAUGCUCAGGCCAGAAACCAAGAAAUCAUCUGGAUUCACAGCCAAUCCCUCUACAAGACCUCUUAUUUCUACCUCCAAAAUAGUCCUUGCUUCUGCCUGCCUCUCGCCUGGGCUACUGCGUCAGCUUCCCCAUAGGUCUACCUGCUGUCUUCCCACAGCAGCCGGCAUAAUCUUUGUAAAUCAUAAAUUACAUCCCAUCUCUCUCCUGUUUGGAAUGUCAAUGGUUUUGAGGCUAAAGAACCACCUCCUUGCCAGGAGCCUGAGUGAGCUGGCUCCUGCCAACCUAGCCUCCUUCCAUGCCACAAAUUCCCUUGCUCACUGCCUUGCAGCCACAGAAAUUACAAUAAAGUCAUUUGUUACUUGCCCCUUUUCAGUUUUGUGACAAUACCAAGGUCUUUCCCACCCCAGGGCCUUUGUACAUGCUGCCCCCUCUGCCUGGAACGCUUUUUCUUCCGCUCUUCACAAGGCUGACUCCUCUCAGCCUUCAGGCUCUACCUCAAAUGACACCUCCUCAGGGUGGCCUUUCCUGGCCUAUGGUUCCCCAUCUCUGCAGCCUGUUUGUUUUAUAACCUUUGUUCUUACGUUCAUUUCUCUAGCUGCUUAUCUCCCUCACGAGACUGUAAACUCUAUGAGAAUGGAGCCCAUGGCUGUUUUGUUCACCAGGGCAUCCCUAGCCCCUGGCACUGUCAAUAAAUACUUGCUGAAUGAACAAAUGGAAACUUCCCUGACCCUGGAGGCUUCUUUCCUUCGCUUGUGCCCUCAUCAUGUUCUCCUUGCGUUACUUCGAAUGGACCUGCUUUUUCUCCUGGGCUGGGGCUCCUGGCAUCACUCUCCCUGGGCAUCCCCUCACACCAGGCUGGCUUGGCCAGGCCCAGAGGAGGGGGCGGAGCACUUGUUUCAUGACGAGCGAAGGAACAAAUGGAAGCCGAAGCCGUCUUAGCAUUGGUCUCAGGGAAACAACUGGGGACUCAGAGGGCUCAAGAUGAGUCUUACCGCGCCUUUGCUUUUGACUCUUGGAAGGUGUUUGUUCUGCUUUGAUUAUUUCUGGGCGGAGGGGCUGUGCCUGACCCAUGUGUCUGAGGAGAGCAGAGUGAGUCUCGGAGGUGUGAGAGAGAGUACGAUCGCACAGCAUGGUGGCUGAGGCGAGUGUGUAGCCCCAGGUCUGAAGGGCGUGACUGUGUGUGACGGGCGAGCCUGAGGGCUGGGUGUGCAUGAGGGUGUGUGUGGGAGGUGUGGCUUCUGGGAUGGGUGUGUGACAGUGUGAGGACUGUGAAGAGUGCCAAGGUGGGGCCAUGCAGACCCACACUGGAUUCUGAGCCUUCUUCCUUCACUGGCUGUGUGUCAGGCCCAAGACUCAGUUUCCUCAUUAGUAAAAUGGGGACACUAAUCGUUCCCACCUGGGCUGAAACAGCCUCUGAGCCCAACACUGAGUCUGGGGCUGGGGUACUCUUUUCUGGGAAACUUUUCUGGGCAAAGGCAGGGCCUCCUAGAGAAACCAGCAGGUCCCCCAGGCCUGGGUUCCACGCCUAGCACGGGCUCCGACCUUGUGUGUGACCUCAGGUUGGCGAUUCAGCCUUAUCUGUUGAACGUGGCUGCUCGAAUCCACGUCCUGGGGCUCUCGUGAGCACUGAAUGAGUAAUACACACACACACAGCACUGAGUACGGGGCCUGGCGGGUGUUAGGCGCACAUUCAGUAAAUGCUAGUCAGCUCCCAACAGGGCAGGCUGCUAGGCAAGGGCCAAUGAAUUAACCACAUCCGGGGAGGACUAGAAAGUCCUUCAUCCACAUGUCGUGGUCCCCCCUGUGUCAGCGUAGGGCGUGGGAGGCCUCGCUGGGCAGCGGCUCCUCUGACUGACCCCAGGCUGGGUGUGAGGCUGUUUGCAGGAUGCAACAUCCACCCAGAUCCUACUGAGCAGGUCCAGCCCCCCGGCAGAAAGUCACAAUCUCUCUGCCCCAGGCCCAGCCCGAAGGCCGCCAGGACUGCAUGUGUAAGAGGAACAGUACUAAGACUGAGUAGGGGCCAGGCCCGGCAGUGUGGAGGGCCCUCGAAGUCAAAGGACCUGGGGAAGUGCAGGCUUGAGACAGGAAGGGGGCUCGGAGGAGACCUUAGCAUCACACCAGGUUCCAAGGGGCUUCUGUGCGGAAGACAGCGCAGGGCUGUCCAGGGAGCGGAGCCAAGGCCAGGGCAGAGCUCAGCGUUGCUUUGCUUUCCUCAGACUAGACCCCUAAGAGGACGUUUCACUGGUGCAGAUGGCCCAGGGAGUGAAUGGGGCCUGGGCACCUCUCCUAGAGCUUUGGGGCUUGGAGGGAGGAGACGCAAGCCUCCCUGAAUCCUCUUGGCUGGUCCUUGCGCCCUGGGGUUACUCCUGGACAUGGGACUUGGUGUCGCGUGGUUACUGUCACACCCCGCACAGCUGUGCCAUCCUAAAAAUAACCUGGAAUCACUCUCUGGGUAAGGCUUAGAGACCAGAGUCCAACUAUCUGAGGCAGGGGUCUCUGGCCUGUUUGGCUGGAGGAGAAAUGUUCUAAUACAUCAGACAGAGACUGGGGCAGGGAGCAAUGGCCCCUCUACUCCCCAGGCAGCCUGAGAUGCUCCCGUCUGGCCCAACAUCAUGAUUGAGGGUGGAAAGCAGGGACACUGAAGUUUUGCGGGGAAAUCCUCCAGCUUGGUGAACUUUUAUUUACCCUUUGAUGCUGGUUCCGACAACACGUCCUCUGUGAAGUCUUCGGUGACUGCCUCCCUUCUGUGUCCCCACAGGCUGCAUUCCCCUUUCUUUCAGAGUACCUGUCACAUGGUUUUGCGCUGGCCUGCUCAAAGCCUGGACUGUAAAUGCCUCCAGGAUCGGGGCUCAUCUGACUCAUCUCUGUCUUUUUAGUGCCUGGCUUGGGUUUUAGCUCAGUACAUGUUUACUGAACGAAUGGGCAGGUUCAAGUCUAGGUUUCAGACGGCCUUACCCAGAGGGGUUAUAUAAUGUCCCUGAGCCUCAAUUUCUUUAUUUGGGAAAUGGGAAUAAUCAUGCUAACUGCCUUGGAUUGCAGUGCAGAAUGAAUGAGAUGACAUGUAAAUUACUUAGCAUAGUGUUCGAGUCACUGGAGAUUCUCCAUAAAAGAUGGCCUCGGGGUUGGCCCACAUGCUGGAAAAGCCUUUCUAGCAUUGAUAUGUGAGCAUAUACUUCCCAGCUUUGUUUCCUUUCAUGUCCCGCCUUAGUUCACAGAGGCUCUGGACUUGGCUGCAGGGCUGAGAUUUUCCUCUCUGGUUCAUACAGUGGAGCCCACCGGACCUGACCCCUCUGGGGGACAUCAUCAAGGCUUCGGGGCCUGAGGAGUGGUUGGGAGACAGGUGUCCUGGGCCUUCCUAAGCCAAGCCCUGACAACCGAACCACAUGACCUGUGGCCCUGGCCCCACUCCCACCCACCCGCACCUUGGGGUAAAUCUGGUACCUGAAGGCCCGGAUGGUGGUGAGACCUUCCACAGUUUCAGCAAAGUGGGAGAGCAGGGGGAGCUGGGUGGUGUCAUCCAGCUGCUGCAGGUCCCUGUGCAGGGGAGCAGAGUAGAAUGGUCAAGAGGGCAGGCGCAGGGCUCGGCUCGGGUCUGAAUCCUAGCUCCCCCCACAACCACUGCGUGCGCAAAUGGCUUCACCUGUCCAGGUCUCAGUGUCUCCCCUGUAGAGAGGGAAGCCAGUGGUACCACCCCGCAAAAUGCAUAAACAGCCCGCCGGGGCAGGCCCUGUAACCCCGGGCACCGUCUACCUCACGAGUGUGGUAAGGCGGGGCAUGUACGGUCGUUCUCUCUCACGGGGAACAACCUGAACCUUGCGACAGCUAGCGAAAGGAGCAGAAAGACCUCACGCAAAGCUUCCAGUCCCCUCCCCGGUAACCACAAUAGGUUCAGGCACAUCAAGGGCCAGUAUCUACAGAGCUCCUUGAGGGGGACAGGCCAGAGGUUUCCAUGGCAACAGGAUUGCCCCUGCCCCCCACAGCGGCACCCUGACAAGCACAUCAGUGCCAGGGAGGUCAGGCUGGGCUGCGGGAGGCAGCGUUCCCGGACAGACUGUCCCCGGGGCAGAGAGGAUGCCAGGGGAACAGGGUGGUUUCCCUGGCAGAAGAAAUGAAAUUUGUAAAACAGCUUGUUCAGUGUUUAAAAAGUCACAGUGAGGGGCGCCUGGGUGGCUCAGUCGUUAAGCGUCUGCCUUUGGCUCAGGUCAUGAUCCCAGGGUCCUGGGAUCGAGCCCCGCAUCGGGCUCCCUGCUCUGCGGGAAGCCUUCUUCUCCCUCUCCCACUCCCCCUGCUUGUGUUCCUUCUCUCGCUGUGUCUUGCUGUCAAAUAAAUAAAAUCUUUAAAAAAAAAUAAAAAAUAAAUAAAUAAAAAGUCACAGUGAUUUGUGAACACUAACAUGCUCCUUCUGGGUGCCAGGGGAUUCUACACCAUCCAGCAUACGAACCUUGGUCCUCACGGGCAAGGUAAUCGUGGUCAAAAUGUAUCUACAUUUAAUUGUUUUUAUUGAUAAUCAGCAUUUUGACUCCAGUUACUAAUCAACUAUGUGCACUUGGGAAAGGUACUUAACCUUUUGAUUAUAACCUGCAGUAAGAAAUGCAUUUUAUACUACAAAUCAGUGCACAUGUGCACACCCCCUGCCCCAAACAAAGGUUUCAUGAAGCAAAACUUACUGUUACUAUGUGCAUACAGUCUGAUAUGUUCUGUUCAAUUUCAUCUGAUAAAAAUGCUGGCUGUGAUCUAUGAUAUUGAUUUCAUGACCCACUGACAGGUUGCAAUUGGCGGUUUGAAAAACACUGGUCUAGAGAUUCUUUCAAAUUUUCCUGACAAUUAUUUGGACCUAUGAGUUUAGCAGAAUCACUCCCAGAAAGAACUUCUAGAGAACGUUCUUAGAAAAUUUUGAGUAGGAAAGAAGCCUGUGUGACUCGAAGGCUCCCGAGGGCAAAUGUGAUCACUGUGAAAGGCUCCCUCAAGUCGAGGCUCCCAGGCACACUCUGGCCCCCGUGGGCUGGGACGUAGGGUUGCCAUAACCCCCCUGCCAUCAGGGGCUCUCGAUUUCGUGCAUCAGCAAUCAGCCUGGUCACUGGACUCCUCCUGAGAAGCAACCCUCCUGAGAAGCAUUUUGGCAAAAUGAAUGAAGGGCAUAAAGGUAUGUAUACACCCCGACCUAGCAAUUCUACUCCUGACUCUAUCUCCUAAGGAAAUAGUUCUGAUAUUAACGGCAGGGUGUGUGUGUGUGUGUGUGUGUGUGUGUUUGUGUGUGUGUGCUGACAGAUGGUUACAUCAGGGUGGUGGAAGAUGAAUAAUAUCUCCCCUUCCUUCAUUUCUAUUUUCCUUUUCAGGGGCAAUAGGACUCUACUACUUUUUGAUGAUUACUCUAGUAAGAGUACCCAGCUGCCCAUUGCAAAGCAUCUCCCCGCCCCCUGAGGCUGGCAAAGGCUGCCAUCACCUGGACGCCACCCGGAAGUACUUCUGGAUGAAGUAGCAGACCACGGCCAGGGGAAAGAGGGCCACGAGGAACACAGGCGUGACAUAGGAGAUGACGGCCAGGGCUGAGACGCAGAGCAGGGUGGAGCGGCUCAAGCACUCCAGCGUGGAUGGGAUGUGCUGACGGAGGGGAGGGUGAGAGAGGGAGGGUGGCUGCCUGGCCCUUAGGACAUACUCACCUUCUCCAGCUCUUGGUCCUGCCGGUUCAUGAGGGUCUUCCAGUGCUCAAAGAGCUGGCACUCAGACCUCUGGAAAUCCUUGAGCGUACCCUCCCUCUGGAUGGUGCCAUCCUUCAUGGCAAUGAUCUGGAAAGGCAGAAACAGACCCAGCCCCGGGGCUGAACGGGAAGGGGGUGUGGCGGUCACACCCCCACCUCGGCAAGGGCUCUGAGAUGGACUGGCACACAUCCUCUUCCCCACCACAACUGGCCGCUGGCCUCCCCGCUGCAGUCCUUACCGACACACUCCCAGGAUCUAGAGCUGAUCUUGACUUAAAUGCAUCGGACCCUCGGUGGGUUAGAGGGUGGGGAGAUGGCUCUCCCAUCCAAAGAGGCAGCCCCAAGGCCAGGGGGAUGAGUCAUCAAACUGGGCCAUAAACAGAAGAGUUGUCUUGUGGGUGCCAUUGAGUUCCCUCUCCUUGGAGGUACGUAAGCCAGUUGCCUAAUUCCUUCUCAGGGAUGGCGUGGAGGGGAGCUGCACAUGGCUAAGUCCCUCUGGCCAACUCUGACCACCUUCAGGGAGGCCCAGGUCAGUGGGGAAGCAUGUCUUGGACCAAACAGCUGUAGUUGCCGUGGUCACUGGCGCAAGCCCUGGGGCCACCACCUGAGCGCCUGUCCAGUGUCCUUGCGGACUCUCCUCUCACCUGACGAG